CCCGACGCAGGGCUCGAAUUCGUGAACCACAAGAUUAUGACCUGAGCUGAAAUCAAGAGUCGGACACUUAACCAACUGAGCCACCUAGGUGUCCCGGUUCACUCAAUUUCUUAACGCUUUUUUUUACUCCCGUUCCCUUGCAGGUAACCUGGCCGUGAAUAGCAGGAGAUGCUCCCAGUGCAAGGAAGGGGGGUUGGCAGGAAGGCAGGAUUAUAAGAAUCGCAUGAAAGGGGUUAUGGAUUCUCUCUGCCAGAGGCACAGACGCACCACAUUUUAUGUUCCACGUCCAGGACUUCACAAACCUGAAGGCCGUCCUCCACAGCCCAGGGAUAGAAGAAAGCCCACGAUGAAACUUGGGAGAAAGAGUGUAUUUUGGUGAAGACAGAUCGGUAAAGAGUGAAGUAAGCAGCUCAGGGAAGGCAGGGGAUGAGGUAGAAAUGGUUUCCUUAGAAGUUUAGACAGAUAGUUGACACACCCCGUCGUCAUUAACAAACCCGCUCAGGUAAGGUUUGCAUUUCCUCCUCCCUCUUUCUCCAGGAUAAUUGGAACAACAGGUAUUGGUUGAGUGGAAAAGGUAGAACUUGAGCAGGGCGCUCACGCAGGCAGCAAGGAAUUAAGGCCUGCGAGUGAGGGUCUGGCUCAGUCCAUGAUGAUGGGCUUGAUUGGGUAUUCAAGGGAUAGAACCGGAACCGUAUUUGUAAUCACCCUCCCGGUAAAGUCUCCUGAUCCCCCUUCCAAGUAACUUGUCUGUGGUGAGACAAGUGAUUUGUUCAAAGUCACAAAGCCAAGUCCACGUUUAAUUUAGUGUGGCCGUUAACGGAAGAGGGGCUAACCAAAGCGGAUCCGGACUAAAGAGUUAGGAGGGUGGCACAGCACUUUAAGGACAGGUCAGGGAACAGAGGAGUCAGAUGGUGGGGUCAGAGUCGAAUAGCAGGUUUCGGUUUUAACAACAGAGCUGUUCAGAGGUGCUUGUGAUUCCUGCGUCCUGGGAGAGGGAGACUACGGCAGGGGACAGAAGUGGCAGGGGAGAGAGCCCUGGAGUUCAGCCUAAGGAACCGUGAGGCGAGGCUCUCACUGCCUAGGUUGCCAGUUUCAAAGUCAUCAGGGUUGAGAGGAAGACCGAGCCAGCUGCUCGGUCUGGCGUAAAUAGGAUGGAGAGCUUGGAGGUCUAAAGGCAGUGAGCACAAGUGAGUCGGUGGCAUUGUAGGUGGUGAACAGCUUCAUAGAGAAGCCAUUUUGAAUGAGGGUGGAAAUCCUAGGGCCAGGAGAGAGCAACGGUCUAGCAAACAGUGGACUGCGUGUUGGCCCCAAGUUCUGCAGUAUAUAUGAGGGAAAGAACAGCCCUUAACAGAGGACUUCAAGAAAAGCAGAGUCCUCAGAAACCAAACGCAGAGUUUUAUCAGCCUCGAUGUUACACUAAUUGCAGAGACCCUGGAAAAGCGGGCCUCUGGCGAACCCUUAAGGGGGUUGGCAAAGUUGCCAGGAUGCCAUGUAGUGGCAGUCCUGACGACGUGGUCACUUCCCUGAGGCGGUGUCAGGAUUUAGAACUGCUGGACCGAGACUGAUCACGGCGUGGCCCGUUGCCCGCCCUGAACUUUUCACAUGCGGUGUGUACUGGGAGGUUUAUGGCAGAGCUUUCUGAGUGACAGGAGGUAAUCCUCCCCCUUGACCGUGUACUUCCAGGUUACAGUGAGCUGGACCAAACUUCUACAAUUCUUGGUAUCCUUUGUAGGUCUUGAGAAACACGAUAAUGCAAACCCGUGUUCUGUCUGUGCCUUUGGAACCCAGCCUAGUGGUUAUCUAAGCUUUUCAUGUUUUCCAAAUAGGGAUUUAACUUCAUUUCCCCAUGGCCAUUGUGGAGGUGGUGGGUCUCCUACAACUUGUAGUCUGUACAGCAUGAGGAAGGUGAGAGAUUACCUUAUCCCCCUCUCCCCCCGACCCCCAUGAUGGAGGAAGCUAAUAUUUCAAGCAUCAGCCAUUAAUCCUCUUUAAAAGAUAGGUUGGUGUCACCUGGGUCGCUCAGUUGUGGCUCAGUCGGUUAAGCGUCCGACUUCGGCUCAGGUCAUGAUCUCAUGGUUCGCGAGUUCGAGCCCCACGUUGGGCUCGGUGCUGGCAGCUCAGAGCCUGGAGCCUGCUUCGGAUUCUGUGUCUCCCUCUCUAUCUCUGUCCCUCCCCCACUCGCGCUCUCUCUCUCAAACAUUAAAAAAAAAAUUUUAAGAGGUUAAAAACAGCACCAAGGAUUAAUUGAAAAUUAUACAGUUGGUUUGCUAAUGAUCAGUAACCUGAUCCGUUAAUGCUUGGUCAGGUUAUUAAAGACUAAAUGCAUUCAAUCAUAAAGUGUGUACAAUAUGGUGGGGGGAGGGUAAUGCAGGAAAAACAAACUCACAUGCCACCAGGGCCGGCAAGCAGUAGAAGGCAACAGGGAAGGCCAAGUGAACCAGGCCAUGAUGGAGAGUAUGUGCUAACCAUUUAGCUUGACUGGCAAUAUGAGACUGGAGUUAGCCUAAUGUGUCCAUUCUUGCAGAGAAGCUAGAUAGGUGAUUUUUGAAUUAUGUUUUCAAUUUUUAGAUGGUGACCAUAAAUUACUAUUUUUUUCUUGAAAACUUGGGGGUGGGGUGGGGGGGACAGCGGUAGCAUCGCAGUUUGUAGUGACCAGUAUGCAAGUUUGUAUCAUCAGGAGGCAUCUUUUGCCAUCCUGAUUGGCUUUGGUGUUUUUGAACUUUUUGAUCCCCACCUGUGGGAAACAUGAACUUGGACCUAAAAUUUCCUCGGCAAGCCUUUUAUCAUAUUGAAAAUACUCUGUCAAUAAAGCAGACACUAGCAAUCCACAGUCCUAUUUGGUAACAGACGGGUGUGUUAAAAACGUAAGUUUCGGGGUACCUGGGUGGCUCAGUCUCUGUUAAGCGUCUGAUUUCAGCUCGGGGCAUGAUCUCACGGUUCAAGAGUUCGAGCCCCACUUCGGGCUCUGUGCUGACAGCUCAGAGCCUGGAGCCUGCUUUGGGUUCUGUGUCUCCUUCUUUCUCUCUGCUCCUCCCCCGCUCACGCUGUCUUUCUCAAAAGUGAAUAAGGGGCGCCUGGGUGGCGCAGUCGGUUAAGCGUCCGACUUCAGCCAGGUCACGAUCUCGCGGUCCGUGAGUUCGAGCCCCGCGUCGGGCUCUGGGCUGAUGGCUCGGAGCCUGGAGCCUGUUUCCGAUUCUGUGUCUCCCUCUCUCUCUCUGCCCCUCCCCCGUUCAUGCUCUGUCUCUCUUUGUCCCAAAAAUAAAUAAACGUCGAAAAAAAAAAAAAAUUAAAAAAAAAAAAAAGUGAAUAAACGUUAAAAAAAACAUCAGUUUGGUGAGAUCAAAUACAAAAAUCUCGACAAUUGUUUAUCCUACAAAAGUUGGCUGAGGUACCUCAAUUUAUUCAUCUUACAUGAUAACUUUACUAAACACUCAGAUUACUGUACUGAGAAAUGCGUUUUAGUAAAUUGCUGUUGUGUUUAGUGCUGUAGUGGUGUUUUCACGUAGAUGAGCCACAUAAGCCCGAUUUCUCCUGCACUUUACAAAUGAGGGGGAAUAGGCUGAGAGAGAUGAAGGAGGUUAUUCCUUCCAACAUCAGGUGGCCAGUGUGAGGACAGCUGGGACCAGAAUUGGGGUUUUCUAGCUUUAGUGUCCUGUUUCUCCCACAGCAUAUGGCCUCUUAGAAAGAGACAGGUUGGACGCCAACUUUAUUUUCACCUCCAGAUUACUUUGAGGUAUCAUAGUAUUCCACUGGGAUUUGUAAUUACAUAGAAUAAAUCAUGAACAUUAUGUAACAGGGUCCAAUUUUCUAUUAAAAACUACAUGUACAGGGGAUUAGAAAUGGAGAGCAUCAAAACGGUGACCGGAGCUGCCUCUCUAGGGUGUGGAAUGACAAGGCAAUCCGCUUUAGUAUCUCCUUUUUUUUUUUUUUUUUUUUUUUUUUAAAGUUUAUUUUGAGAGAGAGCACGUGUGAAUGAGUAGGGGAGAAGUAGAGAGGGAGAGAGGAUUCCAAGCUGACUUCAUGCUAUCAGCUCAGAGCCCAGGUCGGGGUUGGAACCCACCAACUGCAAGAUCAUGACCUGAGCUGAAAUCAAGAGUCAGUGGACACAACCGAGCCACCCAGGAAGGAAGGUGCCCCCCGCCCCUUGGUAUCUUGAAUUUUUUUUGCAAUGAGCAUAUAUUACCUUUUAGAAAAAGGAAAAAAUGGACUCUUCACCUCAAAACUGUAUUGUUUCCUUCAUCUGUAAGCAUGCACUGCAAUGAGUCAGUCUGCUAUGAACAGAAUUCUACUCUUUAAAUGGACACAAGGAACACA